ACAAGGCAAGCUGGAAGGUGGGGCACAGGUCUUUUGCUUUUGAACUUCAUGACUCCUACUACAUAGAGGUUGAACUAUUUGGACAGCCUUGAAACACCUGUGAUGAUGUUUGUAUGUUCUGAAGGAGUGCUGGUGGACUGGAUGCUAUGAAACCAGAUGGAUCCUGCUCCAAAAUGAAUUUUGGCAGAGCUAAAACACUGUUGGCUAUUCUUUUGCUUGUCUUGACCGAAAAAAUUACAUGCUAUACCUACAUAGAAUCAAGAGUCAAAUCAAACAUAAAUCUUGCCAGUUUUUUACCAUACAACUCCCAUUUUAGGCACGACUAAGAGGGCAGCGAUCCAAGUACAACUAGCUAGUGGAUACCAACACAGGUCUUCUGGAGACGUGGCCCUGCAAGACCAGUGACACCUAGUCCUCUGUACACAGUACAAUGCCAGCCUGUCUCAUCUUUCAGCUUGUGCCACUGCAUAUGGUGCAUCGGACCCAGCUGACUGGCACCUAAUCAUUUCCUGCUACUGGCCAUCAGGUGAGCUGGCAGAGAACUUCACCAUGCGGCACUAUUUCUCCUGUUCCUGCAAACCUGAAUUCAUCAAAGCCCUUGACUACAUGGUCAACUAAAACCACAGGAGGUUGCUGGAUAAUUGYUCUCAGCUGCUUGCAUGGGUGGUGGAGAUCUGCAUCUGUCAACUACAGGAGGUUCUGCAUCUGCAGCAUUUGAAAGGAUGGCAUGACAUUAGCUUACAGAACUAUUGCCACACUCAAAUGACAUCUAUAACCACAWGGAGUCACGUAAACAACUUUGUAUUGGAAGAUACAACAAAGGACCACACUUGGAAGUUGCUGCAACUGGAAGAUGCUGAGUGAAUAGACAAGAGUGAUUUGAAUAGACAAGAGUGAUCCUUCUGCUGAACCCAUGGUUUGUGAAGUGUUUACUUUCUACAGAGCAAACCCUGGACUACCUACAGGAUUCUUGAAUAACACAACUGUCUGAUAGAAAUACUUGAACAAUGAUUUGCAUCAGAAAUGUGUGUGAACUUCAGAAGUAUCACUGGAGUCUUUCAAGAAUUAAAGAGAGAUUUAUGAUGAGGGCAAUAAGUGACAAUGCAAUAAAGCAUUUAAUAAACCAGUGUGAGCAGAAAUCCUAACAGUCAGAAAGAAUGGCAGUAUAAAACAUACCCUGAAGKGAACAUUACAAGCAGCAACUGCACAUAUGCAAACUGUGACCCAGGAUCAGCAAAACACUUAUGGAGGUGACAAUACUCCUGGGCUCAUAGCUGCACACAGAAAGGCCACAGUGACUCACUUUCUGCRCAAAUUAGAAGGUUUUAGCCAUGCCAGACAGCCUUUUCUCCAGUGAUUUUUACCAGCACUUACCAAUAAC